ensembl:lncRNA
GUAAGUCCUGAUGAAAUGGAUAAUUAUGCUUGUCCGCCAUUUUGUAUGCAUCUUGUAAGUCGCGCAUGGGACCCACGACGACCAUAUAUAUAUCCUUAUGAAAUGGAUAAUUAUGUUUAAAGUAUUAGGUUUGCUUUUGAUGCAGUAAUUGUAAGCAAAGGAUUUACGAGAAAAUAUUAAAGCCCCCUGUAAUAGUUUGUGUGGGGCGCUUUGUGGACUACGGCGGCGUCUAGGCCGCCAGCCAUCUUACCACAGAAAAGCUUUCUGGAACGCUAAUACUCUUAUCUCGCUGAAAUCUUGACGGAUUUACAAACGGUUUGGUUUCUUAGUUCUGCCUCGUUGUAGUUGUUUUGGUAGCUUUCUGGAACGCUAAUACUCUUAUCUCGCUGAAAUCUUGACGGAUUUACAAACGGUUUGGUUUCUUAGUUCUGCCUCGUUGUAGUUGUUUUGGUAGCGGCUAAAUUAGCAUGUCGCGAUACUACAGGGGAUCACGUCUAUGCAAAUAUUUGGCUUUAAAUUUGGAUUGUAUCUGUGCAAUGUGUUUUUAAAUGCUGAAAUGUGUUACAUUCACUUUUUACACGCACACAUCCGCCCAACAGUCUAAACUCCACCAUAUGCAAUGUUUUUUAAAUGCUUCGCUGUUGGUCAUGCGUUGAAAGAUCGUCCGCCGUUCAACUCAAGGUGAGGUGCUGGUUAUAUUGCUAAUGCUGGGUUUUGACUGUAUUUGCAUUUUAGUUGUCCAUCAAUAGAUUUUUUGAAAAAUGGUUAGUGUGUGUGUGUGUGUGUCUGUCUAGGUGUGUGUGUGUGUGUGUGUGUGGUCCGUCUAGGUGUGUCUGUGUGUGUGUCUGUCUAGGUGGGUCUGUGUGUGUGUCUGUCUAGGUGGGUGUGUGUGUGUGUCUGUCUAGGUGUGUCUGUGUGUGUGUCUGUCUAGGUGUGUCUGUGUGUGUGUCUGUCUAGGUGUGUCUGUGUGUGUGUCUGUCUAGGUGUGUCUGUGUGUGUGUGUGUCUAGGUGUGUGUGUGUGUGUCUAGGUGUGUGUGUGUGUGUGUCUGUCUAGGUGUGUGUGUGUCUGUCUAGGUGUGUGUGUGUGUGUCUGUCUAGGUGUGUGUGUGUCUGUCUGUCUGUCUGUCUAGGUGUGUGUGUCUGUCUGUCUGUGUGUGUGUGUGUGUCUGUGUGUGUGUGUGUGUGUGUGUGUGUGUGUG